rnacentral:rRNA from 1 species
UACAGAGGUCCCGAGCGUUGUUCGGAUUCAUUGGGCGUAAAGGGUGCGUAGGCGGCUUCCUAAGUUUGAUGUGAAAUCCUGGGGCUCAACCCUGGAACUGCAUUGAAUACUGGGAGGCUAGAGUACUGGAGAGGAAACUGGAAUUUACGGUGUAGCAGUGAAAUGCGUAGAGAUCGUAAGGAAGACUAGUGGCGAAGGCGAGUUUCUGGACAGUUACUGACGCUGAGGCACGAAGGCCAGGGGAGCAAACGGG